AUCCAGAUAGCGAGUCCCAAAUUGGACGAAACGCGCAUCCUGGAU
rnacentral:hammerhead_ribozyme from 1 species